UACGAUAAUAAUCAGAUACAUUAUCUUCUCAUUUUUAAUACAUGAAUUUGAUCUUAAUUUCAAUAUAAAGCUUCUUACGGUGAUUAUUAAAUAAACGUAUUUUUUAUUUAAUACGUAACGAACUUGAAUUUAUCGCCAGAAAAUUUCGUAGCUGAUCGUUUAUUUCGAACGUGCCAUUGUGUUUGCCUCUUUCUCUUUAUCGCAUUAUACAUACAUAUAUAUCUAUUUAUGUCAUGACGUCGAUCAGCAUCAUCAAGCGUCUGUAAUGAAAUUAUAGUCUAUGUAUAUAUUCAUUCAAUGAAAUUUAUGUACAGUAUUGAGAAACGUAUGCAAGAAAAAGUAAAAGUUAUUUCAUACUUGAACUAGUAAACGAAAAAAUAUGGCAUUUAGGUUAAUCCGCGUUACUAGACGUUGGUAGAAUGGGAGGCACGUUGUCCGUGUUUAAACGAAACUUUCAGCUUAAUGAAAUUUGAAUCUAAUUAGGUAGAAUGAAAAUUUAGUUUUAUUAAUUAUUUGAGUCAUAACCGGAAAGUAACGACGCAGUUUCACGGCGUUCACGCCGAUAUGCACGAGCUCACUCGUAAGUGCAGAGAUCGCGGAGAGGCAUGAACAAGGCUGAUCGCGUAUACAUAUUUCGAGGAAUAGGUGCGGCAAUUAUCGCUACACGUUAAUUUUUGGUGGCUUUAUAGAUGGCUGCAUUGGCGUAACCAGUCAAUGAUUGAUCGGCUGGAAAUCUCGGCAACGGUAUACCGGCCAGAAUUAACCCUUGAGAUACACUCCGUAUGUCUCACGGGCCCUUCAGUCACUUGAAAUUAUCGGCGAGCACGGUUCCUUUGGGCAAUCCUUGAAACUCCGGGGCACUUCACCGACAGCCCACGAGCGAGCAGCGACAACCUGCGACUAUGCGACAUCAGAGUGACGCGCGCGCGCGUGUGUGAGGUCCGCUGGAUGCUUUUUGCGUUUCACAGGUCUCGGCAUAUCUGCGGCAUACAAGCUGCGGCCCACGCACGAGCAUCCCUGCACCGUCUUCCUGCUGUUUGUUAAUCUGCGCUGGAAAUGAGCCUCCGUUGGGAAAAAUCCUGCCACACCAUCCACGGCGGACGUAGUCGCGAGUCACGUUCAAGUUUGUUUGCAACGGAAUAAACAGCCGCUGAUUGGUCGAAGAAGUAACAGAGAGAGCCGGUCUGCACGCGAGAUGCUCGACGUUGCCCCUUUUUGCCGCGGACUCUUCAUUUUGCAGUUGCGAUGACGAGCUUCCCCCGUAUUCCUCUCGGAGGCUCGCGGAAUUCCACCCUUCGAGAGGAGGAAAUCAAACGACGAUGCGAUGGAAUUUAUAUAUUCGUGGAUUUGCUGUAAUGCAGCGAUUGACAAGAGGAUCGUUUCACUACGUGACAUGGAACCGUGCAAGAUAUCGUGUCGGCGUCGUGGCAGAAUAGCGUCAGGAUCGUGAGACAAAAAUGAGUAAAUCGCUAGAAGAAGCUGAAGCGAGGCUUUUAUCCUCGAAUCUUAGCUUACUCGUCAAGGAAACAGUAGUCAUGACGCUGUUAACGAUCCGAUGUCAACCGCAUUAUCUUCGUCGAUGGACAAAGUGCACCGACUUCUCUUGCUUCCUGAACGUUGCAAUCGGCGUUCGUGGGAAAUUCCACUCUUCCCUUGCUCUACAUUGAUCGAGCUGUGGACGUACGCUUCGAAGAUGACUCGAACUCUCGGCUCUCUCUCUUUCCGCGUGUUGCGAAGUCGGCAAAACGCGGAGUCGUUUAACUUAAACGCAUUUUCGCUGCCGCGGUGAACGCGCGUCUCGCCUCGUGUCGGUCUCGACCGAGCUGCAAAUCUCCAGUCCGAUGGAACGACGCGCGACAGCAACGACGAGCCGAUUCCUCGCGGCAAAAUAAGGAAAAAUCGCGGAGUAAAAUUUGCUCGUUCUGUUCUCGGUCUUCGAGCAGAUCGGGUUCGCGAAUUUGUCAAGUACGCCAGAACGUGGCUAAUUGCGGACUGAGCGGCACCAAACGAUCGACAGGAGGUGGCUGUACGCGUGAAGAUAAGUGGAAAACGCGGAAUAAGAUUCUCCCGCGGGACGUUUCGUUCGCGAGAAAAAUAAAUCUGAAAAUUUAUAAUACGCGCGUACCGGCUCUCAUUUUUCUUGAAAGCGAAGCCCCUCAAACGGAAAAAUGUUAUUCCACAUUUUCGACUUGUUUUCCCACUCAGAACAAUCUCCUGUCCUGUUAAUUAUUCCCGCUCGGUCCAGAAUUAGCCACGUUCCAGUGUACUCGAUCAAUUUUCCAGCUCGAUUUCCUUCCAAAAAGUUAAGCCGAGGAUGACACCAAUUUCGUUCUAUAUUUUGUCCUCGUUUUUCCACAAGGGUUCGCGUCCUGCACGUUCUCUCGCGCCAUCGCGCACACGUAUGUGUGUUAUUUGGCUGGCAAAUUUCAAGUAUUCGUCGCGGUUGAAACUCGUUGGAUCUUGGCGAUAAUAUUUGCAAAUUGCACGGUGUUUAGAAUUUAGCGCCCUUUGUCGGCCCUCUGUGAGAACUUUAGCCGCCACUGCACUCCAAUUGAUUUAAUAAUUCUUGUUUACCGGUUGCUCGUGCAACUUCUUGCCCCUCUCUGUUCGUUUCUUUGUUCAUUUAUCUUUCAAUGGAGCGUACCAAUUUUGUAUUUCUUUUUUUUUUUUUUUCCUUUCUUCGUAGCCGAGUGUACCACCACGCAGCUUCUUCAAUUUAUCUAGACGCGCUCCUGGGAAUUCCUGUUCGCUCGUGUCAUACAUCCCAGCUGAGUAAUUCCAGCCAUUUCUCUAUAUUAUUCUAUCUAUAUCGUUUGCUAUAUUUUAAUUUCCAUAUCGCUCACCGUAUCGUCUUCUCUGCUGUUCCCUAAAUUUUCUACGUCGCCGCGCCAACUAGAGCGUCGCACAAAAUACAAGCAAAAUGGUCUUGUACCAUCAUGUUCCUCGUUUUUCGUGUAAUAAACUCAAGGAAAUUCGAGUGGGAAAAUCUUUUCGACGAAUGUUAGUCUACUGUGUUCUUUCGCAAAACGACAGCGGAGAUUCGAUGGAACGGAAGAAGAGAAUUCCAUGCAGACAGACAGAGAAACGAGGUAAAUGAAAAGCAUCGAAAAGGAAGGCUUCCGUUGGGAAGAACAGCGCAGCUGCAAACACGCAUUUUUGCACUUGCGAGGAAAGAUAUUAUCACGUUUAUGUAGUUGACUUUGAACCAUUCGUUUCCUUCCCUCUUCCACUUUCUUCCUCCCACUUAUCGUUUACGACAAACACGCUAACUAACAACGCGAACACCCUGUAUAUGUUAUUUACUCUCAGCUUAAUGUUACUACAUCGCGUGCCAUUAAGAAUCUGCAAAAUUAUAACGGGCGUUCCAAGAAUACAUACGCAACGAUAUGAAAUGUUCAAUGAAAAAUGUAUCUUGCCGCUAACCAAGUGAAAUCGUUGGAAAUACUCUUUCCAUCGCUAUCGUCUUGCGGUUGUAUUGUUACUCCAGCUCAUGUUCAUCCAUAUACACGAUAUAUUAUUAUUUCGUUACGCUAUGUUCGCGUCUAACGUGUCUUAUAAAGCUACGUUAACUGUCCGCAGGAUAAGAAAAUGUAUAGCAGGAAGAGAGAACCUUCUCGCGGUAAACGACAAGUCCAAGUGCACGAUAAAUCAUUAUUAUUAUUAUUAUUAUCGUCAUAACAGUCAUCGUCAUACGUUCGACUAUUUAAAUAAUUCGUUAGACAUCGCCGAAAUUUAAUUCGCGACCCGAGUCCUUAAACGAGAUUUCGCGAUCGGACAGGUACGAACUUCUGUAGAAUCGAAAAGGAAUCUAAUCUACCGGGUGGAACGAUCAGGCAAUCGAUUUUUUAUUUCCCAUUACGAUACCGCCACGCUCGUAAUUUUCGUCGGCGCGAUUUAAAGCGGACGCGAUGCCGGUGGUCGAUAUAAGAAUAUCGAAGCGUGGCGUAUUAUCUCGGGUCGGAAGUUGGAGAGAGACAGAGUCGAUAUCGGAUCGCUGUGCAAUAUUGAAAUUAAUCUUGAUACUUGGCGAAUAAAAACAGGCUAUCGUAGAGUAAGGCGCUGUUGUAUAACGCGUUGUUGCGCCUACAACGAUAUCGAAAACGUACGUCCGGCGUAUUUGUCAACACGACAUAUUUUGUAUCGGUGCAUAUCGAGGACGAAAAAAAAGAGAUAGAGAGAGAGAGAGAAAAUAAAAAAAAAAAGGAAAGGGGGAAAAAUGUUUUACGAGCCGUAAAUAAACGCAGGCCCGUAGCCGCGCUUUUCACUGUUUUGAUUUUGAUAAAACGAGCCCCCGAAAAAUAUUAUAGAUCUUUGAUAACGCGUGCCGUGUCUGCUGUACGUAGAGAAGCAAAAAAUGAUGGCCAAUAAACGUUCUAGUCUCAUCUUGCAACGUGGAUAAAUCGUGCGAAACAUUGAAUAAUGUGAUAUCGCCAUUUUCCUUCCCCGUUUUUCUCUUUCUCUUUUUCACCGAUGCAAAUUAGCACGCGCAGAAGCGCGAUUAUUACAAUUUUUAAUCUCUUCGAUUCACCGCGAACGUCGCCAACGAACGAUUAUGCGCGUGUAACGGCGAAUAGUCGGUUUCUUUCAUUCUACGAUUAUUUAUUCUUUUCGUAUAAACAGCGUUCGAUAGUUUCGAUUAUUUGACCAAAGUGACUUUUUCUUUUCACGUUUGUAUCGCGCUUUUUCGACUGUCUCGUCCUACGUGGCCUGGCAACUAUUUAUUUGGAAAUAAACAAUGCGUGCUCCACGUGCAAACGUGCCUAUUUUUGUCUGUUCACGUCAUCGCCAAAGAAGAAGAGUUACCGAAAUACUUGGGUGGGAGGAUGAGGUGGAAGGACAGAAAGACAUUAGCAAGAUUCAGAUGUGGAAACGAGACCAAAGCGAGGAAAUACUGGAAAGAAGAGAAAGAGAAAGGAUGCAGGCUAUGCAAAAGGGAAGAAGAAGACCCGAGACGCGUAAUAGAAGAGUGCGAAAUAACGGGAGGACCAAAGGACAAGGAAAAAAUACUAAACGAGACUGGAGAAGAAAAGAACCAACGGAAUUAAAAACGAUAAUGGAGAAGAGAAAGGCAACACAAGACGGGGAGGAAAGACAAUAAGGAAGCGCAGCAAGGAGGCAGAAGCCCAAAAGUUGCCAUAGUUUUAGAGACAGUAUAAUUAAGGCAGUGCAAUGUAAUAGGGUGGAUAAGAGGGGGAGGUAGAAAUAGGUAAACGAGAUGUAAAACCGAAAGCUCGUCCAAAACCGAAAGACACGGACUAAACGAUAAUGAAUAAUAAAUAAUGUCUGUUCACGUCUGUAGUAUGGGCUGGUAGAAUGACACGCGAGGCGUACAAAAAUAGGAUAAACAAUAAUAUAGGAAAUAAAUAGACAAAGUGACACGAACAUAGAAAAUGUUAAUUUAUAAACAAAUAAUAUGCGCCUCGCGUGAAAAUGUUCCUAUUUAUAUGCUCACCCCCUGUAUGCAGUAGAAUGUACAUACGUGGCAUGGGCUAAGAGAAAGAUAUAGAAAACGUAGGAGAAUAGUGGAGGAUAUAACAUAGAAAAUAAUAGGAAAGAUAGAAAAUGUGAAUUUAGAAGUAAAUAAUACAUAUUUCGUAUGAAAAUGCUGCUGUCUGUAUGCUCACCUCUGUAUGUAGCAGAACGUACGUAUAUAACGUGGGCUAAUAGAAUGAUACAGAAAAUACAGAAGAAAAGUAUAGACAAUCAUAUAGGGAAUAAACAAACGAAAUGAUGGCAACAUGAAAACUGUUAGUCGGGAAACAAAUAACACGUACCUCGCGCAAAUUAUAUUUUCACCGCGGUACACGCAAAAUAUAGAAAAAGUGGCGUACGAAAUAACAUAACAAAUUGUGAAUUUGAAUUUAGAAAUAAAAUAUACCGCGCGUCUCGUGUGAAAAUAUCCCCGUGUGAUAAAAUUAUAUUUAACAAUAACUUGACAAUAAACUGUGCUUGAGCCAACUAGAACGAUGUACAAAGCGUAGACAAACGAUAUUAAAAAAUGAUACACCAAGUAACUAAGUAAAAUUAGAGAAACAGGGAAAUUACGUUGACUUGGGAACCAACGAUACGUAUUUGACGCGACUGAUAUUUCCACCGAUUUUCCUGCCUACAAAUGAUAAUUCUUUUGCUCGGCCUCUUGCUUCCUCCAUCCAUCCCGCCAGUCGCCAGAGAAAAGAAAAUGUAACUGUAAUAGAAACAGAUCGCGCUAUUAAAAGAUUAUACGUCUGGUAGAUUGAUGAGCUUCUCUUGCCCAAGCUGAAAGUGAUUGUGCAAUUAAGGUUCGUAGGGGUGUUGGCGGCAAUCCCAUACGCGUGUUAAUGGGCUUCUGCUAAACAACCGAAAGGAGGCUCUCGAUACGAUCGCUUGGGCCCUGAUAAACGGGUAAACAAGUAGGUAAUGUCGACAGUAGUAUCGGCUCGGUGUGUGGUCAGACGCACGCGUGACUGCAGUUGCAUCGUGUUGCGCUAAUUCGAUGCGAGUAGAAAUUGAUCUCGGCGACUCUCGUUGAUCGAUCGCGCGACUAGAAAAAUCCCUAGUGUUCUUUGAUCUGUGACCAGCGACCGUAUCAUCCGCCACAGGGAAAUUAACAUUCGCCACGUAUCAUAGUCGUGCAACGAAAGAGGAGAUAUGUUUACGUGCGAUCGACGUAACGGCAAAGAUGCAGAAGGAAAGAUAAUAAUAAUCUUUCGGCUGCAGUGGUAUUUCCUCGUUGUGUGAAUCCGACUUUCGUCCAUCGCGAUCUUCAAAUUAGACGAUCGUUCGCCCUGAUAAUUCUACUUAUUUCUGUUUCACGUUGCGCUUGUUCACUCACUAUUUGCUUAUAAUUAACUGUCUAUCGAUACCGCUUAUUAAGUACCUAACGCGUAUUAUUAUAUCGUAGAUAAUUUGUAUCAGAUGUUGAUUCGUGUGUCUUGACUACUAUAGUAAUAACUACGUAUUGACAAAUAUAUAGUACGUGUUGGUAUAAAUGAAUCAGAAAUCUUUAAACAUUACACGCUAUGUAAUACACGGUCGAAUUGUCUUUUAUUGUUUUGUGGGUUCUUUUGUUCUAUAUUUGAACUUGACGAAGUAGAACGUAUUUGGAUUAAGACAGCACGUAAACGUACCAAAAUUGGACGGCAAUGCUUUUGAAUUGGUAGAACGCGGCGUUGUUCGCCAACUAUUCGCUUGCAGAGUUAUAAUUCUAUGCUUGUUGAUACUUUUCAAUGCCGCGGUAUCUGUAAAAUCUGCUUUUAUCUGUGAAAAACUCGGCCAGUUAAUUGAUCGCGGUUUAGAAUUCAAUCGGAGAUUAAAAGUAGCAAUAGUUAUGCAAUCGUGCGAUAGAAGAGUUCAAUAUAUGAUAAUAAUAAUAUAACAAGUAUCGUUGAGAGAGAAUCCUCUCUGAUCAUAAUCAUUUUUUCUGUCGAUCAACAACGAUUUGUCAAUUUCGAUAUACAAAUACGUCUGACGAAAUCUCAUCAACAUGAAUUAUGCGCGCGUAUAUAGCAGACGGAUGUUUUCGAAACAAAUCCGCGUUGAUUGUGAUCAUCUGGCGUGUCUCGAAUGAUUUUUCAUUUUCGAACGAACCUCAA